rnacentral:tRNA from 1 species
GGGGCUAUAGCUCAGUUGGGAGAGCACCUGAUUUGCAUUCAGGGGGUCGUCGGUUCGAACCCGGCUAGCUCCA